rnacentral:rRNA from 1 species
UACAGAGGUCCCAAGCGUUGUUCGGAUUCACUGGGCGUAAAGGGUGCGUAGGCGGUCUGGUAAGUCUGACGUGAAAUCUCCGGGCCUAACCCGGAAACUGCGUCGGAUACUAUCCGGCUAGAGGAUUGGAAGGGAGACUGGAAUACUUGGUGUAGCAGUGAAAUGCGUAGAUAUCGGGAGGAACACCAGUGGCGAAGGCGAUCACCUGGGGUUGUUCUGACGCUGAGGAGCGAAAGCUAGGGGAGCAAACGGG